rnacentral:rRNA from 1 species
CAGUCGCCACGGUAAUACGUAGGGUGCAAGCGUUAAUCGGAAUUAAUGGGCGUAAAGCGUGCGCAGGCGGUUAUAUAAGACAGAUGUGAAAUCCCCGGGCUCAACCUGGGAACUGCAUUUGUGACUGUAUAGCUAGAGUACGGCAGAGGGGGAUGGAAUUCCGCGUGUAGCAGUGAAAUGCGUAGAUAUGCGGAGGAACACCGAUGGCGAAGGCAAUCCCCUGGGCCUGUACUGACGCUCAUGCACGAAAGCGUGGGGAGCAAACAGGAUUAGAUACCCCAGUAGUCCCUGUCUCUUAUAC